rnacentral:miRNA from 1 species
UUGCAGCCUGGCCGUAUCUCAG